GUUUUGGGAGCGCCGGCCGGCGUGUGAGCUGCUGCUAGCCGUGAUCAUUAGAUUCUGUAGAUUCUGUACCUUCAGCCACUUUUGGCGUGGAACCACACUCUGCUGUGAACUGGCUUUCACUUCGCGCUGCCUAUACUGCACCGGUGUUGCCUCUCGUUGGUUGGUGUGUCGCCCCAUCAUCUGUGCCCUGUGGCAGGCCUGAUUUGUGGUGCUUACGCCGGCCUUGGAGUAGCCAAAGGGGUUGGCCCCUGUGUAUCUGACUGCAGUCAGUGGAUGGUAAGCUGGCAUAUGCUACGUUGAUGUUGUUGCUUCGAUGGUAACGAUGACCUUAGUCACUAAAUCUACCCUCACUUUCCUCAGUGUGUGGUCCAAAUUGCGAUUGUUCCGAACCACGGAUCUAUGAUCAGGUUAGCGGUGCCUCUCUGACGCUGUAAGUAUUCAUUUCUUCCUCUUGAUUGUCGCUGUCACCAAUUACCUCAGGCUAGUGAGUAAUGGGUACCUGUCUGUUACAGGGGGAUUGCUAGCUACACUCCUCGGAGGUUGCUGUUUUGUUGCCAUCAAACUCUGCGCCAGUUCCGAACUGGCUCCACCUGCUCGUCCUGUUUUGGGCCCACGGUUUAUUUGUUUAGUUUUCCUGUGACCUCACUUUCAUUUGGUUUAAUUAUUUUUCAUUUGUGUUGGUUUGUUGUUUUCUGGCCCAUUUCUUGGGACAUCAGCCUCCUCGCGGCGCAUUGCGCAGGGCUGGUUACUACCUGUGUGUGUUGAGUGUGCGUGUGUGUGUUCAGUGUGUCUGUGUGCGUGUGUGAUUGUCAUCUAGGCACGGCACCGGAGACAAGUGUACACCCCCCUCCCGUCAACCUACGGCGGUGUAGUUCUCCCCUCUCUCUUGCUACACGAAAGUUAAGUUGCAUCUAGUCAUCACUGUGUAUGCAGAUUGUGUAAUACAUUAGCACGUGUCAUUCUCGCCAUUAAGUGUCUCUCUCUUCUCUCCUCCCUGGAUAGGUAUGGAGUUGCCAUAGCGCACCGGUCUUCGGGUGGUGGAUUCCCUCACUUUUCCAUUGCUGUGUGCACUUGGGUGACUAUUACUAUUUUGCUGUGCUAAGUAGCAGUAGUAGAUGUGUGUUUUCUUUUUAUUUUGUGUGAGUACUAUCUUUAUUGUGUGUGUUUAUUUUGUGUGGCCUUUUCCCUAGCCUUUAACUAUCCCUUUUCAACCGUGCUGCUAUUGGUUAGCCUAAGCCUAGCUUCCUCCCCCUUUCAAGAGUGACACCAGUGCCCUGUCUACCCCGUAUUGGGGCGUUGCUUAUGACUGAGUGUAGCCUCCCUUCUCUCUCGCACAGGUGCCGUGCGUGUGUAUGUGUAGUGUGUGUAUGUGGCCACUGGCGGUUUUGUUCCACAUUACUGCUCGCCAGUGAGAUAAUAGGGAAUUUGUGCAAUAUUGUGUUAUACCAUUCAUCCAUGUUGUCUUCUGUAAUGUAUUACCAGUUGUCCCCUAUGCAUCACCACUGCACGUUGUACAUUUGAACUACCUGACUGCAAUGACCUACAUGUAUAUUUUAUUGAUUUGUAUUACCAUUCUAUCUGUGAAAAGAGAAAUAAAACACGAACUUGACCCUUGCCUAAGAGUGCUCCGAACCUGUGUCCUGGUUUACUAAUUUGGGGGGUAAUUUCACUCCUAGGUUGUCUUCCCCCACCCUAGGUGGCGUAGUCGUGCAAGAGCUGAGUUGAAUUGAAUUAACUGUAAACGUGCCACUGUUACAACUGGCGUAGAUUUCGGCAGGAGAGCACUCUUAAGGCAGAGUUUUGUAAGUGUGUUGUGUGCA